UUGUCUGUAUCGCUGAAUCCCUGUAUGACAGGGAGCGGGGGAACCAACCGGAUGUCUGCGGACAUUCAUGGGGUGAAUCCCGGGGCAUGCGAAGGCGCGGAUGAUGCGCCAUGUCCCGAGGUAGGGCGACUCUCUCGCCCGAAUCCGACAGCUAACCUCGUAAGCGUACCGAGAGAGGCAAC
rfam:Paenibacillus dendritiformis C454 PDENDC1000034, whole genome shotgun sequence.